UUUGAGAGGAGUUGCGAUGACAAAAGGUUGCAGUAGCAUAUUGGGCAAAUAAGUUCAAAGGGGCGUAACUCCUGGAAAAAAAAUUGAAUCGUAUUUCCUGUCGAUAUGCACAUCUACUUAGUAUGUCCUUAUUAUCUGAAAAGGUUUCAUGAAAUUCUGUUGUGUGGUUUGAGAGGAGUUGCGAUGACAAAAGGUUGCAGUAGUAUAUUGGGCAAAUAAGUUCAAAGGGGCGUAACUCCUGGAAAAAAAAUUGAAUCGUAAUUUCCUGUCGAUAUGCACAUCUACAUAGUAUGUCCUUAUUAUCUGAAAAGGUUUCAUGAAAUUCUGUUGUGUGGUUUGAGAGGAGUUGCGAUGACAAAAGGUUGCAGUAGUACAUUGGGCAAAUAAGUUCAAAGGGGCGUAACUCCUGGAAAAAAAAUUGAAUCGUAAUUUCCUGUCGAUAUGCACAUCUACAUAGUAUGUCCUUAUUAUCUGAAAAGGUUUCAUGAAAUUCUGUUGUGUGGUUUGAGAGGAGUUGCGAUGACAAAAGGUUGCAGUAGUAUAUU